rfam:Oreochromis niloticus linkage group LG17, whole genome shotgun sequence.
ACAACGGCUCUUUUAAGAGCCACAUACACGCACUCAGAGCAGCGGU